CUUGUUCUUUUCAUAAUAAAGCUAUAAAGUUUUUAACGCUAACGUUUUCUAACGUUUUCAUUUUGCAGUAUAAGGGCAGUAUCAGUCUGGAGCAAGUCAUUAUAGUGUGUGUAAUUAUGCUUGAUGGUAGUGUACGGACAAUGUGUUCAUGUUGAAGUGCCUGGGGCCUGGGGAGCUGAAGACUGAGGAGCCUGGGGCCUGGGGAGAUGAAGACUGAGGAGCCUGGGGCUGGGGAGCUGAAGACUGAGGA
ensembl:lncRNA